UACGAAGGGUGCAAACGUUGCUCGGAAUUAUUGGGCGUAAAGCGCACGUAGGCGGCAUUGCAAGUCGGAUGUGAAAUCUUAUGGCUUAACCAUAAAAGUGCAUCCGAAACUGCAGUGCUUGAGUACUUAAGAGGAUCGCGGAAUUCCCGGUGUAGAGGUGAAAUUCGUAGAUAUCGGGAGGAACACCAGCGGCGAAGGCGG
rnacentral:rRNA from 1 species